rnacentral:rRNA from 1 species
AAAGCGUGCGCAGGCGGUUAUGCAAGACAGAGGUGAAUCCCCGGGCUCAACCUGGGAACUGCCUUUAUGACUGCAUGGCUAGAGUACGGUAGAGGGGGAUGGAAUUCCGCGUGUAGCAGUGAAAUGCGUAGAUAUGCGGAGGAACACCGAUGGCGAAGGCAAUCCCCUGGACCUGUACUGACGCUCAUGCACGAAAGCGUGGGGAGCAAACAGGAUUAGAUACCCUGGUAGUCCACGCCCUAAACGAUGUCAACUGGUUGUUGGGAGGGUUUCUUCUCAGUAACGUAGCUAACGCGUGAAGUUGACCGCCUGGGGAGUACGGUCGCAAGGUUGAGACUCAAAGGAAUUGACGGGGACCCGCACAAGCGGUGGAUGAUGUGGUUCAAUUCGAUGCAACGCGAAAAACCUUACCUACCCUUGACAUGUCUGGAAUCCUGAAGAGAUUUGGGAGUGCUCGAAAGAGAGCCAGAACACAGGUGCUGCAUGGCCGUCGUCAGCUCGUGUCGUGAGAUGUUGGGUUAAGUCCCGCAACGAGCGCAACCCUUGUCAUUAGUUGCUACGAAAGGGCACUCUAAUGAGACUGCCGGUGACAAACCGGAGGAAGGUGGGGAUGACGUCAGGUCAUCAUGGCCCUUAUGGGUAGGGCUACACACGUCAUACAAUGGCCGGGACAGAGGGCUGCCAACCCGCGAGGGGGAGCUAAUCCCAGAAACCCGGUCGUAGUCCGGAUCGUAGUCUGCAACUCGACUGCGUGAAGUCGGAAUCGC